rnacentral:rRNA from 1 species
ACGGGGAGACAGCAGGCGCGAAACCUUUAACACUGCACGUCAGUGCGAUAUAGGGAUUCCGAGUGCGAAGGGCAUACAGUCCUCGCUUUUGUACACCGUAAGGAGGUGUACGAAUAAGAGCUGGGCAAGACCGGUGCCAACCGCCGCGGUAGACACCGGCAGCUCGAGUGAUGGCCGAUAUUAUUGGACCUAAAGCGUCCGUAGCUGGCCGGACAGGUCCGUUGGGAAAUCCACUCGCUCAACGAGUGGGCGUCCAGCGGAAACCGUCUGGCUUGGGRCCGGAAGACCCGAGGGGUACGUCUGGGGUAGGAGUGAAAUCCUGUAAUCCCGGACGGACCACCGGUGGCGAAAGCGCCUCGGGAGGACGGAUCCGACAGUGAGGGACGAAAGCUAGGGUCUCGAACCGGAUUAGAUACCCGGGUAGUCCUAGCUGUAAACGAUGCCCGCUAGGUGUGAGCAGUAGGCUACGAGCCUACGCUGUGCCGUAGGGAAGCCGUGAAGCGGGCCGCCUGGGAAGUACGUCUGGCAAGGAUGAAACUU